rfam:Leclercia adecarboxylata strain I1 Leclercia_S84_R1__paired__contig_15, whole genome shotgun sequence.
AGUGGCUCAUUCACCUUCUUAUGUCAGCCCCUUCGGGACGUGCUACAUAAACUUCGAAUGACGCACAAAAAGGUGCCUGCCGUCCAACUACUGAUCAUAGCGUUGCUUUAUCAGACCCAGGGCGAAACGUCGAGUUAGGCACCGCCUC